rnacentral:rRNA from 1 species
GUAAGCUACUAAGAGCGAAUGGUGGAUGCCUUGACUGGUAAAGGCGAUGAAGGACGUACUAGACUGCGAUAAGCUACGGGGAGCUGUCAAGAAGCUUUGAUCCGUAGAUUUCCGAAUGGGGCAACCCAAUGUAUAGAGAUAUACAUUACCUAUAUAGGAGCGAACGAGGGGAAUUGAAACAUCUUAGUACCCUCAGGAAAAGAAAUCAAUAGAGAUUGCGUCAGUAGCGGCGAGCGAAAGCGCAAGAGGGCAAACCCAGUGCUUGCACUGGGGGUUGUAGGACUGCAAUGUGCAAGAGGUGAGUUUAGCAGAACAUUCUGGAAAGUAUAGCCAUAGAGGGUGAUAGUCCCGUAUGCGAAAAACAAACCUUAGCUAGCAGUAUCCUGAGUAGGGCGGGACACGAGAAAUCCUGUCUGAAGCUGGGUCGACCACGAUCCAACCCUAAAUACUAAUACCAGAUCGAUAGUGUACAAGUACCGUGAGGGAAAGGUGAAAAGAACUGAGGUGAUCAGAGUGAAAUAGAACCUGAAACCAUUUGCUUACAAUCAUUCAGAGCACUAUGUAGCAAUACAGUGUGAUGGACUGCCUUUUGCAUAAUGAGCCUGCGAGUUGUGGUGUCUGGCAAGGUUAAGCAAACGCGAAGCCGUAGCGAAAGCGAGUCUGAAUAGGGCGCUUAGUCAGAUGCUGCAGACCCGAAACGAAGUGAUCUAUCCAUGAGCAAGUUGAAGCUAGUGUAAGAACUAGUGGAGGACUGAACCCAUAGGCGUUGAAAAGCCCCGGGAUGACUUGUGGAUAGGGGUGAAAGGCCAAUCAAACUUCGUGAUAGCUGGUUCUCUCCGAAAUAUAUUUAGGUAUAGCGUUGUGUCGUAAUAUAAGGGGGUAGAGCACUGAAUGGGCUAGGGCAUACACCAAUGUACCAAACCCUAUCAAACUCCGAAUACCUUAUAUGUAAUCACAGCAGUCAGGCGGCGAGUGAUAAAAUCCGUCGUCAAGAGGGAAACAACCCAGACUACCAGCUAAGGUCCCUAAAUCUUACUUAAGUGGAAAACGAUGUGAAGUUACUUAAACAACCAGGAGGUUGGCUUAGAAGCAGCCAUCCUUUAAAGAAAGCGUAAUAGCUCACUGGUCUAGUGAUUUUGCGCGGAAAAUAUAACGGGGCUAAAGUAAGUACCGAAGCUGUAGACUUGACUUUGUCAAGUGGUAGGAGAGCGUUCUAUUUGCGUCGAAGGUAUACCGGUAAGGAGUGCUGGAGCGAAUAGAAGUGAGCAUGCAGGCAUGAGUAGCGAUAAUUAAUGUGAGAAUCAUUAACGCCGUAAACCCAAGGUUUCCUACGCGAUGCUCGUCAUCGUAGGGUUAGUCGGGUCCUAAGUCGAGUCCGAAAGGGGUAGACGAUGGCAAAUUGGUUAAUAUUCCAAUACCAACAUUAGUGUGCGAUGGAAGGACGCUUAGGGCUAAGGGGGCUAGCGAAUGGAAGUGCUAGUCUAAGGUCGUAGGUGCUUAUACAGGCAAAUCCGUAUAAGAAUACACCGAGAACUGAAAGGCUUUUUGAAGUCUUCGGAUGGAUAGAAGAACCCCUGAUGCCGUCGAGCCAAGAAAAGUUUCUAAGUUUAGCUAAUGUUGCCCGUACCGUAAACCGACACAGGUGGGUGGGAUGAGUAUUCUAAGGCGCGUGGAAGAACUCUCUUUAAGGAACUCUGCAAAAUAGCACCGUAUCUUCGGUAUAAGGUGUGGUUCGCUUCGUAUUAGGAUUUACUCCGAAAGCGAAGAAACUUACAACAAAGAGUCCCUCCCGACUGUUUACCAAAAACACAGCACUCUGCUAACUCGUAAGAGGAUGUAUAGGGUGUGACGCCUGCCCGGUGCUCGAAGGUUAAUUGAUGGGGUUAGCAUUAGCGAAGCUCUUGAUCGAAGCCCGAGUAAACGGCGGCCGUAACUAUAACGGUCCUAAGGUAGCGAAAUUCCUUGUCGGUUAAAUACCGACCUGCAUGAAUGGCGUAACGAGAUGGGAGCUGUCUCAAAGAGGGAUCCAGUGAAAUUGUAGUGGAGGUGAAAAUUCCUCCUACCCGCGGCAAGACGGAAAGACCCCGUGGACCUUUACUACAGCUUGACACUGCUAUUUGGAUAAGAAUGUGCAGGAUAGGUGGGAGGCUUUGAGUAUAUGACGCCAGUUGUAUAUGAGCCAUUGUUGAGAUACCACUCUUUCUUAUUUGGGUAGCUAACCAGCUUGAGUUAUCCUCAAGUGGGACAAUGUCUGGUGGGUAGUUUGACUGGGGCGGUCGCCUCCCAAAUAAUAACGGAGGCUUACAAAGGUUGGCUCAGAACGGUUGGAAAUCGUUCGUAGAGUAUAAAGGUAUAAGCCAGCUUAACUGCAAGACAUACAAGUCAAGCAGAGACGAAAGUCGGUCUUAGUGAUCCGGUGGUUCUGUGUGGAAGGGCCAUCGCUCAAAGGAUAAAAGGUACCCCGGGGAUAACAGGCUGAUCUCCCCCAAGAGCUCACAUCGACGGGGAGGUUUGGCACCUCGAUGUCGGCUCAUCGCAUCCUGGGGCUGGAGCAGGUCCCAAGGGUAUGGCUGUUCGCCAUUUAAAGCGGUACGCGAGCUGGGUUCAGAACGUCGUGAGACAGUUCGGUCCCUAUCUGCCGUGGGCGUAAGAAGAUUGAAGAGAUUUGACCCUAGUACGAGAGGACCGGGUUGAACAAACCACUGGUGUAGCUGUUGUUCUGCCAAGAGCAUCGCAGCGUAGCUAAGUUUGGAAAGGAUAAACGCUGAAAGCAUCUAAGCGUGAAGCCAACUCUAAGAUGAAUCUUCUCUAAGCUCUCUAGAAGACUACUAGUUUGAUAGGCUGGGUGUGUAAUGGAUGAAAGUCCUUUAGCUGACCAGUACUAAUAGAGCGUUUGGCUUAUCUUUA